GGCAAAUGCAGGCUUUCGCUGAAGCCUGGAGAGCGAGAGGGGUUGGUGCACACCGCCCCCUCUCGCUCUCCAGGCUUCAGGAAGCUAUCCACAAGCCUGCGGAGCCCGGCGGGAACUCCCACGGGCUCUGCAGGCUUGCG